rnacentral:rRNA from 1 species
GCAAGUCGAGGGGCAGCAUGGUCUUAGCUUGCUAAGGCUGAUGGCGACCGGCGCACGGGUGAGUAACACGUAUCCAACCUGCCGUCUACUCUUGGCCAGCCUUCUGAAAGGAAGAUUAAUCCAGGAUGGGAUCAUGAGUUCACAUGUCCGCAUGAUUAAAGGUAUUUUCCGGUAGACGAUGGGGAUGCGUUCCAUUAGAUAGUAGGCGGGGUAACGGCCCACCUAGUCAACGAUGGAUAGGGGUUCUGAGAGGAAGGUCCCCCACAUUGGAACUGAGACACGGUCCAAACUCCUACGGGAGGCAGCAGUGAGGAAUAUUGGUCAAUGGGCGAUGGCCUGAACCAGCCAAGUAGCGUGAAGGAUGACUGCCCUAUGGGUUGUAAACUUCUUUUAUAAAGGAAUAAAGUCGGGUAUGCAUACCCGUUUGCAUGUACUUUAUGAAUAAGGAUCGGCUAACUCCGUGCCAGCAGCCGCGGUAAUACGGAGGAUCCGAGCGUUAUCCGGAUUUAUUGGGUUUAAAGGGAGCGUAGAUGGAUGUUUAAGUCAGUUGUGAAAGUUUGCGGCUCAACCGUAAAAUUGCAGUUGAUACUGGAUGUCUUGAGUGCAGUUGAGGCAGGCGGAAUUCGUGGUGUAGCGGUGAAAUGCUUAGAUAUCACGAAGAACUCCGAUUGCGAAGGCAGCCCGCUAAGCUGCAACUGACAUUGAGGCUCGAAAGUGUGGGUAUCAA